rnacentral:lncRNA from 1 species
CUAUUCAUAGGUUGGCUCUCACACCUGUGGGGCCAGCUGAUCUACAGUUGAGCCAAAACCAACAUCCUUUUGCUCCUUGUUGCUUUCAAUGGGAUGAAGCUAGAACCGGGGCCUCCUCUGAAGGACGAUGGGCUCCUCUGAAGAAUGAGCCUGCUCUGAAGGGUGAACUGGAGGAAAGGAGGAAGGCCCAACAUAGCAAACCACCUACUCCCUUCUCUGUCUCACGGCAGGAGUGACGAGCUGCCUGGAACCAGCAGCUGAGGCACCCAAAGACCCGGUGUCUCUAAACAGCUUCUAUGCUUCCUUCCCUAAACUGCACCAGUGCCUGCCUGGGCUGAGCAGCAAGAGAGACAUCUGUGAUAUCUGAUGACAAUCAUCUCUGAUUAGAGUGUCACUAUAUAGCACAGGUGGAAAGUUGAUUACCAAUCUUUGGUCUGGAGGUAAAUUUUACAGCUGUUUUAAACCCAUGAAAGUGGGUCUUAUAUUGGAAGUGCUGACACAGCCUUAUCCACCGUGGAUCAGCAUGAACUAUACCGCUGUAAUAAGCAGUUAUUAUGUAUGUGUAAAAAUAAUGAGAGGCCGUGUCUGAAGAGAGUUAAUGUAAAAUGCUAAGCAAUUAUAGUUGGUUACACAGUAUAGGUUAAUAUUCCUUCAUAUAGCUGCAUUUUUUCUUCUUUUGUCCUCCAGAACUCCUAAUGAAAAUUUUGAGACCUGACUGUAAUGAUAAGCAGCCAUUCACACGUCCUUUGUGUCAAGGCUGUUGCAUUAAUGCUUCCCUUCAUAUAACAUUUUGCAUAGCCUAAAGCAUCUAUUAAAAUCCUUUGUAAAAUUCAUGAAACAAAAGUGGUGGGUUGAGUCUAGGGGGAGAGAAAGUAAGCUGCUUAUUAGCAAAAAGUCAAAAACACAGGGCCAAUUACAGAUCUGAACAAGAAGGGCUAAGGAACAGCGUGGGGAGUAAUUCUUUCUUCAGCCCAAUGGGCUCAAGCGAGGGGCAGGUUAAAUGAAAAUAGAGCAACAGUCUGAGCAGUAAUUAAACGGAAAUGUUUGGAGUUAGAAACAGCUCUAUAACAACAGGAAGAAAUGCUCAACUAAAACAAUUGUCUAGCCUCACGAACAUGCUAAAUUGGAAGGAUUUAGGGGUUGUUCCCUAAAGGAGAGACUGCGGGUAGUGAAGGGGAGCAGGGGCUCAGGAGAUAUGUAAAGAAUCUGUUUGGUAUUUCAAAUGUUAUAAAUUAGAUUUAUAAAGAGACAGAGAGACAGAGAGAGAGUAUGCCUUCCUAUUGAACCAGCAACAUAAAACUGAAUAAACCACAAUAAGAUUGCCCUUUUUCUGUUAUAAACUUGGCAUUAAGCUUGUCAUGUUCAAUGACAGCCUACUAGGCCUCAUGCUUUACCCUUUGGAAUUUGAAAGAUUGGCAGGUGUCAUGAUUUCCUUAACAUAAAAGACCUUGCAGAUAAUGUUCACCAUGCACAUUUAUACUUCCAUAACUCCACUUCCCUCGUUUUGGUAUCGUCAGGUGAGCUUUCCACGCAGGCUGUUGGUGCUGGGGCUGCCCAGAAGCCUGUCUGGCCUGAGGACAAUGUUUACUGCAAAAGGAGCUUGCAGUAGAGGCCGUACUUUUAUGAUUCUCCUUAGCAGUCUAAACAUGCCCCACAUUUACAAUAAUGAGCUGCUUUGUAGAGAGCGGCUCUCUGAGAGCAUUGUUACUUUUCUUUGAAAUGUUGAAUGCAACCAGAAUGGCUCUUGUCUGACUUAAGGCUAGAAACAGGGUCUCAUUUAAACAAUAAUCCCCUCUCUUUGCAACCACCCACCCCAGCCAGAUCCUUCCAAUAACUCCAAGAGAAAAAAGUAAAAUCAACGUUGAGGGAAAUACAAACUCCCAUUGAAGGCUAAGAGUUCCGUUUCAAUUGGUAUCACCUAAGGGCAACUGUUUGCUACCAACCAAUGCCACUUGAAAAUAAACAAAUGGAUCUUUUCAGAAGAAUUAGUGUCAAGAAUGAGAAUCUUACAUUUUUUCCAACCCGAAGAGAAAGUAUGAGUAGUUGGCUAGGCAUUAACCAUUUACAAAAUAGUUUCAUAUGGGAUUUCAAUAAAUCUGGCCCCAUACAUUUUAAUCUUUUUAUUAUGGAAAAAAAUACAUAUAGAAAAGAGACAGAAUAACCUAAUAACUCCGUGUAUACUCAUCAUUCAGCUUUAAUGAAUAUCAUCUCAUGCUCAUGGUCAUUCUGGUUUCACUAAUGCCCCGUCCACUCCCCGACUUGUUUAGUUUUGAAGCAAACCCUAGGCAUCAUUUAAUUUAUCACAUCUAUAAACAUUUCAGGGCCUAUGUCUAAAAGAAAAGAAUUCCUUUGCUUUUUGUUUUAACAGAUCAAGGAAAUAUUUUGAACCUCCAACCCUUUGAGAGUUUUGUGGACUUUUUUUUUCCAUGAGCUGCAUUUCUCAAAAUAAUAUAAUCGUAUCAUAUAUUAGAAAUAUAAAGAAAAUCUCAAGAGCAUCACUGGUCUCCGGUUUGCUUUGGAGGCGCGUUUUCUCACUUAUUUCGGAGAUUUGGGUAACUGAAUUUUUCUUCUGUUAGCCAUUGUCAUAUUACUUGUAAAUUUUCACUUUUGGCAUUCAAAUCAAUAACAUUUUAAUAUAUCUAUCUUCUUAGAAAUUGUUUUCACAAAAAUCUUGACUCAAAAGUAUAUAUUGGGCACUUACUGUGUGCCAAGUUCUGCAUUAGGUACAGGAAGCCAAGCAGCCAGGCAAGGGAAGCAAGACACAGAAAAUUAAUCUCCCCUCUCACUGAUCCCCAAACUUUGCUGGACAUCUUACAGGGGUUGUGGCAUUUGAUUGCCUUCUAUAUUGGUAGAUGUUGCUAGAUAAAAAAUAAAUAUGUUUUUUGAAAAAGGAAUAGGAAAUUUGUCCUUUCCCAUCCUAAUACUACUGUUGUUUCCUUAAUGGCCCCAAAAGAUAAAUAUUUUACUCAGAUGUAAACCAUGUGAACGCCUCAGUCAUUGGUAUAAGGUUUACCUAAGUCUUACAAAGAAAAAUAUCCCUAUCCUUAUGAAUACAUUGUAAAUAUACAAGAGUGAAUUAUUAUAUUUUUUAAAAUCUAAAUAGAUUUCUUUUUUAAUUAAAUAAAGCAUUUUUUCCUAUUUUCUUACCUUGAUAUUUUCAAUAAUUGGCAAAAAAUAUAUAGCAAUUUUAAAAUGGCAAUAUUUUUUCUCUGAUUUCCUUAGAACAUCAAAGGGGUAAGACUUGAUCAUUUGACUGGACAAGAUGAUGUACUUUUCUUUAAGGAAUGGAAGAUACUGAUUCUUUAAAACUUUUUUUAUUGUUAUGUACAAAAGACUAUUUGCAACAUAAAUUUGAAUUACAAAGCAUAAUAUUAAAAUGAACAGUGUGACCUUCCACCCAAUUCAAAACUAUGACACCACCAAAGCCUUUGACACCUCCACUCUGCCCCCAUUUCCAGCUCUUGAGGUAAUUUUAUCCUGAAUUUUCUAUGUAUACUAUUUUAUAGACUUUAAAAAAUAAAUUUGCUAUAUAUGUGUAUAUUACUAUGAUUGUUCAGUUUUGUUUGUUUUGAGACUUUAUAAAGUAGUACCAUAUCCUAUGUGGUCUUUUAAAACUUGCUUUUCUCAUUUCAUAUUAUUUCUCUGAGAUUCAUUCCGAACAUAUGUGCCUAUGUUUUUAUGUGUCAUUCAUUUUCUCUAUUGUAUAAUACUCCAUUUUGUGAAUAGAAGAUAAUUAUUUGUCCAUUACUUUGUCAAUGGGCAUUGAGUGGGUUCUGGUGUGUUGGCUUGUUCAUUUGCUAUUAUUACACACAACAGUGCUGUGAACAUUCUUAAUUUUGUCUCCUGGUGUGUAUAAGCAAGAAUUUCUCUAAUACUCAUUUUUUUCCUCCUAAAAAUUUCACUAAUGGCAGUGGGGGAUAUACUGGUACCCUUUUUCUAUUAAUAAAGCCCUAUUAAGUUCCACAAAUUAUUUUAAUUUAAAGUGAAAAUGAUAGUUUUGAAAGCAUAGCUCUGAUGUACAUAGGACAAUGGUAUCAUG